ensembl:lncRNA
AACAAAUUGACAUUUUAGAAAACAAAAUAACAUUUUAGAAACCAAAAUAACAAGACGCAAAACACUUUUACCAGUCCCGAAACAAAUUUACAAAUGAUAGAUUAUUCACGGAAAGGGAAUGUACCACAUACCGGAAGUGACUAGGUGAAAGCGGGUGAUAGGUGUUGUUGGUGAGCGCGGUCAAUUCGUGUUGUCGUAUGAAGUUUAAUGAAGUUUUUGGUGACUGAACAUGGACUCCGGCCGAGGAAUGUUUUGCCCGUUUUGUGGCAAACACAUGACCAGCUUAACGCGGUUCUGCUUUGCGUGUGGUCGUUGUUUGGAGUUUUUAAAAGACGUGGACCAGACAGAAAAACCAAACAUAAUGCAUCAUUGCGUUCAAUAUUUUAACGAGGGCCACUCGUACGCUGUAAUCGUGGACAUGAUGUCAAGUCUACACGGUGUAAACAUCAGCUUGAGGACUCUUAAAAGUAAACUGAACGAAGCCGGGUUGUACCGCAGGAAGGAUUAUUCCUCUCCAAAUGCCGUGCGUAACGCCAUCAGAUCUGAACUUCGUGGACCUGGACAACUGUUUGGUUACCGCUCGAUGUGGCAAGUACUUAAACAAAAGUACAAUAUUCGAGUGAAGAGAGAUGAUGUGAUGAAUUUCCUCCGGGAGCUUAAUCCUCGAGGGUGUGAGAACAGAGCACGCAGGAGGUUUACAAGAAGAACCUAUCACUCAAUGGGACCUAACUAUAUGUGGCACGCAGAUGGUUAUGACAAACUUAAGCCAUUCGGUUUGGCCAUUUCGGGAUGCAUAGAUGGAUUUUCACGUAAAGUAUUGUGGCUUGAAUGUGGACCAACAAAUAACAACCCAACAGUGAUUGCUCACUAUUUCAUGUCAUGUGUGCGAAACCUCGGUGUCAUCCCCAUGAGACUGAGGACUGAUUGCGGCACUGAGAAUGGAAUAAUGGCUGCAAUUCAAUGUACCCUACGCCACCAUCACAGUGACUACUACUCUGGAGCGUCCAGCCACAUGUACGGCUCAUCUAUGAAUAACCAGCGUUAUUGAGUCCUGGUGGUCUAUAUUUAGAAAGGGAAGGUCUCAGUUCUGGAUGGAGUUAUUUGCAGACCUUAGAGAUGCUGGAUACUUCAACGGGAGCCAUGAGCAUCAGUGCCUAUUGAGGUAUUGCUUCGGUGACGUUCUUCAGAAGGACCUGGAUGAGUGUGUGAAACUGUGGAACAGUCACAGGAUUCGCCCUUCCAGAACAGCAGCAUGUCCAGGAGGAGUGCCCCAUGAACUCUACUACUUACCACACAGGUUUGGCUCCAGAGACUGUGGAUUUCGAAUUGAACAGGCUGAACUGGAUGCCCUUCCUGAGGCUAGCCUGUCAAUGACUCCUUGUGG